CACUUGCCAUGUGUAGGCGCUGUGCAGCACCUCCUCUCCAUCCUGUGAGGGUCUCCCUGAACUCAGGGUCCCAGUGGAUUUCCUGACCCCAAAGGGCCCCUGGGCACUCUGGGAAUGACAAGCUGCCGGGACACCCAGGCCAGAGAGGAGAGGUGGUGAGGGAUACCCCUGGC